UUCAGUCGCUCCUGUAGUUGCGGGAUGGAGGGGCAAAGUAGACUUAGCUCCUGAUCCGUAGCCUGCUGUGGGCAGUCAAGUCGCUGAUUAGGGGAAGAGAGAGUGCAGCAUAACUUUGGGAGCCAUAUUAGCUCCUGGCAGAGACAGCUACUCCCUCUUCCCCGCUGCAUUGUGGGUAAUGAGGGUGGUGCCUAAACGCACAGGUUCUCUGGGCACCAUCUUUACUAAUGGCCAGAGAACCGUUGCCAGGGUUACCUGAGGCCUUGAUUUAGGCAUAUGGAAGUUGCCCAAUACAAUGCACUAUUUGUUAAAGGAAUGAAUGAAAAGCAACAUGUUUAGUGGAGGAAGACAUCUUUGAAUGUGCACUUCACCAUGUGUUAGAAUCCUGGAACUUGGUGGCCUGAGGUCAGAUCCCAUCCCUACCUCUCUCUAGCUCCAUCACAUGGUCAGCUGGAGUUCAGUUGAUUGAAGCUGGGAUCAGCUGGAUUUAACUCCAAGCUGCAGGUUGGGUCCAGAUCUGUACCACAUGUCAUUCAUCUUUCUUGGACCAUGUUCUUUUCCGGGCAAAAGGCUGGAGGGGAAGCCAGCCCCACAAGCACAUUGUAAGCCUCUGCUUACAGCACAUCUUCUAAUAUCCCAUUGGCUAAAGCAAGUCUCAUGCCUAGCUCAACAUUAGUGGUGUAGAGAAGGGUACUCCUCCUAUGGAUUACUGAACAGCAAUUCAAUGUACCACAAUCAUGAGUGCAGAUUCCUAUCACAGAGCCCUGUGCUCUGCUUCAGAUACCCAAAGAUGCAUCCCAAACAAGAAAACAAGAGAAAAACGGAAUUACCAA